AGAGUUUGAUCCUGGCUCAGGAUGAACGCUAGCGACAGGCCUAACACAUGCAAGUCGAGGGGCAGCGGGGAGGUAGCAAUACCUUUGCCGGCGACCGGCGCACGGGUGAGUAACACGUAUGCAAUCCACCUGUAACAGGGGGAUAACCCGGAGAAAUCCGGACUAAUACCCCAUAAUAUGGGCGCUCCGCAUGGAGAGUCCAUUAAAGAGAGCAAUCUUGGUUACAGACGAGCAUGCGCUCCAUUAGCCAGUUGGCGGGGUAACGGCCCACCAAGGCGACGAUGGAUAGGGGUUCUGAGAGGAAGGUCCCCCACAUUGGAACUGAGACACGGUCCAAACUCCUACGGGAGGCAGCAGUGAGGAAUAUUGGUCAAUGGUCGGCAGACUGAACCAGCCAAGUCGCGUGAGGGAAGACGGCCCUACGGGUUGUAAACCUCUUUUGUCGGAGAGUAAAGUACGCUACGCGUAGUGUAUUGCAAGUAUCCGAAGAAAAAGCAUCGGCUAACUCCGUGCCAGCAGCCGCGGUAAUACGGAGGAUGCGAGCGUUAUCCGGAUUUAUUGGGUUUAAAGGGUGCGUAGGCGGCACGCCAAGUCAGCGGUGAAAUUUCCGGGCUCAACCCGGACUGUGCCGUUGAAACUGGCGAGCUAGAGUGCACAAGAGGCAGGCGGAAUGCGUGGUGUAGCGGUGAAAUGCAUAGAUAUCACGCAGAACCCCGAUUGCGAAGGCAGCCUGCUAGGGUGCGACAGACGCUGAGGCACGAAAGCGUGGGUAUCGAACAGGAUUAGAUACCCUGGUAGUCCACGCAGUAAACGAUGAAUACUAACUGUUUGCGAUACAAUGUAAGCGGUACAGCGAAAGCGUUAAGUAUUCCACCUGGGGAGUACGCCGGCAACGGUGAAACUCAAAGGAAUUGACGGGGGCCCGCACAAGCGGAGGAACAUGUGGUUUAA
rnacentral:rRNA from 1 species